GGAUUAGAUACCCUGGUAGUCCACGCCGUAAACGAUGACAGCUAGAUGUCGGGAGGUUGCCUCUCGGUGUCGCCGCUAACGCAUUAAGCUGUCCGCCUGGGAAGUACGGUCGCAAGAUUAAAACUCAAAUGAAUUGACGGGGACCCGCACAAGCGGUGGAUCAUGUGGUUUAAUUCGAAGAUACGCGAAGAACCUUACCGGCUCUUGACAUACCAAUCGCGGACUUAAGAGAUUAAGUCCUUCACUUCGGGUGGAUUGGAUACAGGUGCUGCAUGGCUGUCGUCAGCUCGUGCCG
rnacentral:rRNA from 1 species